rnacentral:rRNA from 1 species
CUUCUAAAUUUAUAAUAGAAUUUUAUUUUUUAGUCAAAAAGCUAAAAUAUAUUUAAAAGACGAGAAGACCCUAUAAAUCUUUAUAUUUAGGUUAUUAUAAUUUUAUAGAUUUUUUUUGUUAUAAUAAUUGAUAAUAUUUUAUUGGGGUGAUAUUAAAAUUUGAUAAACUUUUAAUUGUUUAAAUCAUUAAUUUAUGAAUAAUUGAUCCGUUAUUAGCGAUUAAAAAAAUAAGUUACCUUAGGGAUAACAG